UACGUAGGGGGCGAGCGUUGUCCGGAAUUAUUGGGCGUAAAGAGCUCGUAGGCGGUUCGGCAAGUCGGAAGUGAAAGCUCCAGGCUCAACCUGGAGAGGCCUUUCGAUACUGCCGUGACUAGAAUCCGGUAGAGGAGUGUGGAAUUCCCGGUGUAGCGGUGAAAUGCGCAGAGAUCGGGAGGAACACCAGUAGCGAAGGCGGCACUCUGGGCCGGUAUUGACGCUGAGGAGCGAAAGCGUGGGGAGCAAACAGG
rnacentral:rRNA from 1 species